GAUGAACGCUAGCUACAGGCUUAACACAUGCAAGUCGAGGGGCAUCAGGAAUCUAGCUUGCUAGAUUUGCUGGCGACCGGCGCACGGGUGAGUAACGCGUAUCCAACCUUCCCCUUAGUAGGGCAUAGCCCGGCGAAAGUCGGAUUAAUACCCUAUGUUAUCCGAAGAAGACAUCUGAAUUGGAUUAAAGAUUUAUCGCUAAGGGAUGGGGAUGCGUCCGAUUAGGUUGUUGGCGGGGUAACGGCCCACCAAGCCUUCGAUCGGUAGGGGUUGUGGGAGGAAGUUCCCCCACACUGGUACUGAGACACGGACCAGACUCCUACGGGAGGCAGCAGGGAGGAAUAUUGGUCAAUGGGCGCGAGCCUGAACCAGCCAAGUAGCGUGCAGGAUGACGGCCCUAUGGGUUGUAAACUUCUUUUAUGCGGGAAUAUAGUGCCCCACGCGUGGGGUAUUGCAUGUACCGCGUGAAUAAGCAUCGGCUAAUUCCGUGCCAGCCGCCGCGGUAAGAC
rnacentral:rRNA from 1 species